UGGGGAAUUUUGGACAAUGGGGGAAACCCUGAUCCAGCCAUCCCGCGUGUGCGAUGAAGGCCUUCGGGUUGUAAAGCACUUUUGGCAGGAAAGAAACGUCAUGGGUUAAUAUCCCGUGAAACUGACGGUACCUGCAGAAUAAGCAUCGGCUAACUACGUGCCAGCAGUCGCGGUUAUACGUAGGGUGCAAGCGUUAAAUGGAAUUACUGGGCGUAUAGCGUGGGCAGGCGGUACGGAAAGAAAGAUGUGAAAUACCAGAGCUCAACUUUGGAACUGCGUUUUUAACUACCAAGCUAGAGUGUGUCAGAGGGGGGUGGGAUUCCGCGUGUAGCAGGGAAAAGCGUUGAUAUGCAGAGAAACACCGAUGGCGAAGGCAGCCUCCGGGGAUAACACUAACGCUCAUGCACGAAAGCGUGGGGAGCAAACAGG
rnacentral:rRNA from 1 species